GCUCGGGUGGCGGAAUUGGUAGACGCGCUAGACUAAGGAUCUAGUGGGGCGACCUGUACGGGUUCGAGUCCCGUCUCGAGUA
rnacentral:tRNA from 1 species